rnacentral:lncRNA from 1 species
AUAAAAGUAAAGUAAAAAUUGGAGAAUAUAAGGCUCUGAGGCAGGCGAUCCAUGCACACCUUGAGGAUCGGUCUAGCUGAUACCGACAUUAAAUAAUAUCUGCACCGAUAGGAGCUCUUUCAGUGUCGAAAUCUUAAAGCUGUGCGAGGUUUCUGCCUCCUGUCUCAGGCAUUGAUCUAAUGAGGGCUCCUUCAACAUGGUCUCUUGAGGUUCACCUUAGGCGAUGAGCCCCCAAUCCUCGUCUGACGUCUGAG